rnacentral:misc_RNA from 1 species
UCGCCUCAUGGUUCGACCUUGACGAUAUCGUCGGCCCGGGAAGCAUAUUCGAGAGCAUAGGCGAGUUCGCCGCGCGUCUCGGCAUGGACAUGAAGCAUUGGCUGGGCCCNNNNNNNGGCCCAGCCGCACGUUCAUGCGAACGCCGGCAGCCUUGGCCUCGGGCGCUCCGGCGAGUUUGGCGAGCCGGGCGAGCUUUCGGUUGUCGAUAUGGACGA